rnacentral:rRNA from 1 species
GGGGAAUUUUGGACAAUGGGCGCAAGCCUGAUCCAGCAAUGCCGCGUGCAGGAUGAAGGCCUUCGGGUUGUAAACUGCUUUUGUACGGAACGAAAAGCUCUUCUCUAAUACAGGAGAGUGAUGACGGUACCGUAAGAAUAAGCACCGGCUAACUACGUGCCAGCAGCCGCGGUAAUACGUAGGGUGCGAGCGUUAAUCGGAAUUACUGGGCGUAAAGCGUGCGCAGGCGGUUUUGUAAGACAGUGGUGAAAUCCCCGGGCUCAACCUGGGAAUUGCCAUUGUGACUGCAAGGCUGGAGUGCGGCAGAGGGGGAUGGAAUUCCGCGUGUAGCAGUGAAAUGCGUAGAUAUGCGGAGGAACACCGAUGGCGAAGGCAAUCCCCUGGGCCUGCACUGACGCUCAUGCACGAAAGCGUGGGGAGCAAAC